GCCAGCAGCCGCGGUAAGACGUAGGACGCAAGCGUUAUCCGGAUUUACUGGGCGUAAAGCGUCUGUAGGCGGUUGAGUAAGUUGGGCGUGAAAGCUCCGUGCUCAACGCGGAGAGGUCGUUCAAUACUGCCGAACUAGAGGACAUCAGAGGAGCAUGGAAUUUCCGGUGUAGCGGUAAAAUGCGCAGAUAUCGGAAGGAACACCAGUGGCGAAGGCGGUGCUCUGGGGUGUGCCUGACGCUGAGAGACGAAAGCUAGGGGAGCGAACAGGAUUAGAGACCCUGGUAGUCCUAGCCCUAAACGAUGGAUGCUAGAUGUGGGGCCGAGAAGGCUCCGUGUCGCAGUUAACGCGGUAAGCAUCCCGCCUGGGGAUUACUGCCGCAAGGCUAAAACUCAAACGAAUUGACGGGGCCCCGCACAAGCAGCGGAGCGUGUGGUUUAAUUCGAUGCUACACGAAGAACCUUACCUGGGUUUGACAUGUAAGUGGUAGUGAAGCGAAAGCGGAGCGACCCUUCGGGGAGCUUACACAGGUGCUGCAUGGCUGUCGUCAGCUCGUGCCGUGAGGUGUCGGGUUAAGUCCCGUAACGAGCGCAACCCUUGCCCUUAGUUACAAGUGUCUAAGGGGACUGCCGGCGGUAAGCCGGAGGAAGGUGGGGAUGACGUCAAGUCAGCAUGGCCCUUAUAUCCAGGGCUACACACACGCUACAAUGGUCAGUACAAAGGGCAGCGAAGCCGCGAGGUGAAGCGAAUCCCACCAAAGCUGAUCUAAGUUCGGAUUGCAGGCUGCAACUCGCCUGCAUGAAGCUG
rnacentral:rRNA from 1 species